rnacentral:lncRNA from 1 species
GAUUUGGCUAGGCACACCCAAAUAAUGGCUGUAUCUUUUGCCAGCUGAGUUAGAACUCAACUACCUCUUGGUGGGGGUCGGGGGGGAGCCCUUCAAGCCAGCGCAUAGAUUAGUAUUUGAAUAACCAAGGUAUGAAAACCCUGGGGGCCACCUUUAGGGUCUGGCCUGCCUUCUAAUAGAAUUACAGUCUUCCAAAACUAGAGAGUUCUGCAAAGCCUUACCCUGAGUCUCAAUCAUGAGGUGGGGCAUUUAUCCUUGAACUAUUUGCCAUGACCUUGGAGCUUGGAAGGAGCUGGCUGGCUACUAGAAGCCCGAAUUUCCCCCUUCCACGCUGGGAAUGCGGUUUGUAGAGGAUGGAUAAUUGGAUGUCUGGAAGCAUCAACUCCAAGAAUUCCUUGCUGAAGCUCCAAGCCCUCGAAUCGGGUCUCUGCUCCGCGUUUCUGACCACCCAGGAAGAAGAUGGCCAAGUGCACGGAGCGAAGGACCCGGCCCCAGCUUCCACGCAGAGCGUGCCUGCGGACAGCGUGGAUCCUGCAGACCCCGUGCCAGCUCAUAAGGAUGCACAGGGCGACGCCGACGGUACGCCGGAUGACCUCCAGUCUGCAGGGACCAGCCGGCUGCUCCAUCACAUCACAGAUGGCGACAAUCCGUUGCUCUCGCCACGAUGCUCCAUCUUUAGCCAAAGUCAGAGGUUCAACCUG